rnacentral:rRNA from 1 species
UACGUAGGGCGCAAGCGUUGUCCGGAAUUAUUGGGCGUAAAGAGCUCGUAGGUGGCGUGUCGCGUCUGCCGUGAAAGCCCAUGGCUUAACUGUGGGUCUGCGGUGGAUACGGGCAGGCUGGAGGCUGGUAGGGGCAAGCGGAAUUCCUGGUGUAGCGGUGAAAUGCGCGGAUAUCGGGAGGAACACCGGUGGCGAAGGCGGUUCUCUGGGCCUUACCUGACGCUGAGGCGCGAAAGCCAGGGGAGCGAACGGG